UGAGUAGGCCGUGGGGCCCAGGCCGAAGUUCACAAUAGCUUGCACCUGGUAAGGGGUAAAUGUACGCAUGCGCUAGUAGCGUGAGUCAGCACUAUGAACACCACGCAUGCGCCAGUAGCGUGAGUCAGCACUAAGAACACCACGCAUGCGCCACUAGCAUCAUAAAAGGACAAGUGCGUACACCUGAGCACCGCCGCAGCCUCGGGCACCACCCGCUUGUACUGCAGUAAAGUGCAGUUUUGCUCCUUGUCGGCUCCUCCCGCCUUCUUCCAGUUGGGCAGCCCAUCUCCUCGGGUCCCUCUCCAGCCUCCCUCGGCUGACAAGCAUGUUGUAGACCCUCCUGGAGACCUAAAAUCUUUCCCCGGUGAAGUGAGGCCAGUGGACGAGGGGGGCAACCGGACGAGGAAUGCGGACAGCCUAAGAAGCCGAGAUAGGCUCCCGGCCGAUGACCGACAGGGAGACGAAAACUCAGUCCUCCAGCCACAAGCAGGAUCGGCUGUAUAUAUCAGUAACAGCCUGGUCAGUGUGGGGAGGAAGAGGCUGGGAAGGCCUCCUUCUCGAGCAUUCCCCCAUGGAUGCUGGAAAAUCUGCCACUGGUUAAAAAUUCCCCUGCACAGUCUGCUUCAGGGCCAUUCUUUUUUUAUCUUAAUGCACUUAUUUCUUCAACUGAUAAUAAAGUUCAAAAUUCUGAGCUUCCUUCUUGAGUGAUUUGGGCAGGUUGAGAGCAGAGCUGUGUGUGUGUG